AAUGGGUCAGCGACUUAUAUUCUGUAGCAAGGUUAACCGAAUAGGGGAGCCGAAGGGAAACCGAGUCUUAACUGGGCGUUAAGUUGCAGGGUAUAGACCCGAAACCCGGUGAUCUAGCCAUGGGCAGGUUGAAGGUUGGGUAACACUAACUGGAGGACCGAACCGACUAAUGUUGAAAAAUUAGCGGAUGACUUGUGGCUGGGGGUGAAAGGCCAAUCAAACCGGGAGAUAGCUGGUUCUCCCCGAAAGCUAUUUAGGUAGCGCCUCGUGAAUUCAUCUCCGGGGGUAGAGCAC
rnacentral:rRNA from 1 species